UGCAGUCGAACGAUACAGUGGCAGACGGGUGAGUAACGCGUGGGAACGUACCUUUCACUACGGAAUAGCUCCGAGAAAUUGGUGGUAAUACCGUAUACGCCCUCAGGGGGAAAGAUUUAUCGGUGAAAGAUCGGCCCGCGUUGGAUUAGCUAGUUGGUGAGGUAAUGGCUCACAAAGGCGACGAUCCAUAGCUGGUCUGAGAGGAUGAUCAGCCACACUGGGACUGAGACACGGCCCAGACUCCUACGGGAGGCAGCAGUGGGGAAUCUUGCACAAUGGGCGAAAGCCUGAUGCAGCCAUGCCGCGUGAAUGAUGAAGGCCUUAGGGUUGUAAAAUUCUUUCGUCAGGGAUGAUAAUGACCGUACCUGAAGAAGAAGCCCCGGCUAACUUCGUGCCAGCAGCCGCGGUAAUACGAAGGGGGCUAGCGUUGUUCGGAAUUACUGGGCGUAAAGCGCACGUAGGCGGAUUUUUAAGUCAGGUGUGAAAUCCCGGGGCUCAACCUCGGAACUGCAUUUGAAACUGGAAGUCUUGAGACCAGGAGAGGUUAGCGGAAUACCGAGUGUAGAGGUGAAAUUCGUAGAUAUUCGGUGGAACACCAGUGGCGAAGGCGGCUAACUGGACUGGUACUGACGCUGAGGUGCGAAAGUGUGGGGAGCAAACAGGAUUAGAUACCCUGGUAGUCCACACCGUAAACGAUGAGAGCUAGUUGUUGGCAGGCAUGCCUGUCGGUGACGCAGCUAACGCAAUAAGCUCUCCGCCUGGGGAGUACGGCCGCAAGGUUAAAA
rnacentral:rRNA from 1 species